GGGGAAUAUUGCACAAUGGGGGAAACCCUGAUGCAGCAACGCCGCGUGAGCGAUGAAGGCCUUCGGGUCGUAAAGCUCUGUCCUAAGGGAAGAAGAAAAUGACGGUACCUUAGGAGGAAGCCCCGGCUAACUACGUGCCAGCAGCCGCGGUAAUACGUAGGGGGCAAGCGUUAUCCGGAAUCACUGGGCGUAAAGGGUGCGUAGGCGGCCAAUAAAGUCAGGGGUGAAAGGCUACGGCUCAACCGUAGUAAGCCUUUGAAACUUAUUGGCUUGAGUGCAGGAGAGGAGAGUGGAAUUCCUAGUGUAGCGGUGAAAUGCGUAGAUAUUAGGAGGAACACCAGUGGCGAAGGCGACUCUCUGGACUGUAACUGACGCUGAGGCACGAAAGCGUGGGGAGCGAAC
rnacentral:rRNA from 1 species